rnacentral:rRNA from 1 species
CUAACACAUGCAAGUCGAACGGCAGCACAGAAGAGCUUGCUCUUUGGGUGGCGAGUGGCGGACGGGUGAGUAAUGUCUGGGAAACUGCCCGAUGGAGGGGGAUAACUACUGGAAACGGUAGCUAAUACCGCAUAACGUCGCAAGACCAAAGUGGGGGACCUUCGGGCCUCACACCAUCGGAUGUGCCCAGAUGGGAUUAGCUAGUAGGUGGGGUAAUGGCUCACCUAGGCGACGAUCCCUAGCUGGUCUGAGAGGAUGACCAGCCACACUGGAACUGAGACACGGUCCAGACUCCUACGGGAGGCAGCAGUGGGGAAUAUUGCACAAUGGGCGCAAGCCUGAUGCAGCCAUGCCGCGUGUAUGAAGAAGGCCUUCGGGUUGUAAAGUACUUUCAGCGGGGAGGAAGGCGGUGAGGUUAAUAACCUCGCCGAUUGACGUUACCCGCAGAAGAAGCACCGGCUAACUCCGUGCCAGCAGCCGCGGUAAUACGGAGGGUGCAAGCGUUAAUCGGAAUUACUGGGCGUAAAGCGCACGCAGGCGGUCUGUUAAGUCAGAUGUGAAAUCCCCGGGCUUAACCUGGGAACUGCAUUUGAAACUGGCAGGCUUGAGUCUCGUAGAGGGGGGUAGAAUUCCAGGUGUAGCGGUGAAAUGCGUAGAGAUCUGGAGGAAUACCGGUGGCGAAGGCGGCCCCCUGGACGAAGACUGACGCUCAGGUGCGAAAGCGUGGGGAGCAAACAGGAUUAGA